ACGUUCCUCUGUUCCGUUGUUUCUACGAGGGUUUCUUGGUUGCUACCUCGACUUUUUUCGUCCUAAUUAUUAUUCUCCGUCACAUUCUUGCAGAAAGAAAUAAAAGAUGAUCGAAUAUGCAGAACACUUAAAAACAAUUUUUUGAAGAUAAUUGAGAAUGGAUAUAGAAACUAUUUUCUGUAUUUUAAUGAUCAUUCGUCGAUUUCGAUAUAAUAAUUGUUGAUGGAAAUUAUCGAUACUACGAUCGAUGGAAUCGAAAAUAAGCUAAGUUCAGCUUGGACUACACGAAGAGUUGAAUAUUUAUAAAAGUUUGAUAGACAUAUAAAAUACAUAUAAAAAAAUAGAUUUUUUGAUUUUAACUGGAUAAUAGAAUUUCACUUUUUUAAUUUAAUUCUUUUUUAUGCUACUAACAUAAAACAAAUUUGCUAUAUUUUUCAAUAGACGAUGCAGCACAAUGUGCACAAUCGAUAAUCGAUCUAGUUUAAUUAUACGAUCAGUAUGUCGAAGUCAAUGGCCUCGAAACAAAGAACCGACAUAAAAAGAAGAUAACUAUUCAAUUGUUACCCACCUUGAAAGUCAAUGUCAGUCAAUGGCGGCCAACAUGGAAACUUAUUAUCCGUAAUCGAUAUGUCUGAAAAUCGAUCGGUUUCAAGGAACGAUUAUUGUGUUCGAGGAACGUAUACAUAUAAUUAGCAACAACG